AAAACCUGAAUGAACUCUUUGG
rnacentral:miRNA from 2 species